CCAUAGGUCCCUCCAGCUCUAUACUGAUUCUCUCUUUAAUUACUCCCCAAACAGGCGCAUUCUUCACAUUGCUGCAAACUGACCAGCGAUUUGUAAGUCUCAGAGUCAGUCAGUCUCUCUCUCUCUCUCUCUCUCUCUCUCUCUCUCUCUCUCUCUCUCUCUCUCUCUCUCUCUCUCCCCCCCCCUCCCUCUCUCUUCUCUCUCUGGCUGAAGAGGAUGUGCUUUAGACGAAAGACCCCAAAGUUCUCAGUGGCACCAGUACCCCAAGUGUUAGGAAGGUAGGAACUAACCCAAAAGCAGAGUGAGGAGGAGGAGGAGGAAGUCGGAGAGGAAAACGAGAGGGAAUACAAGAAGGAACGCACUCCCGUGCCCAGCAGACUCUAGCCACUCUCUCCCCAGCUACACGCUUGGUGAGGCCUACUCAAGCCUGUCUUUGUUCCAGACAAAAAUUUCACAGGAACCUCGAGGCCUUCGUGUAUGAUGGCAGCGCUAAUUCCACAGAUGAAUUUUUACCCCACCGCAGCUGGAAUGUUAUCUGGUUUAUUUACCUGCUCUUCCCAAGCCACCUCCUGAACCUUUCAAUCAUAUGCACGAUACAGACACAAAUGAGUCAUCUGCCUUUAAAUCUGUGAUUCAAAAGAGUUUUCCCAAAAUAAUUUUAAGUGGCAAAGCCCAAGUCUCAAGGAAGCAAAAAUACAGAAGUUGUCUUAAAACCGCCUUAAAUGUUAGGCAAAUAGGUCACCACGGUCUCCUUUUUUUCUUUCUUUUUUGGAAACAAAAAUAUUUUUUCUGAAAGGGCAAAGAGAAUUUGCCAUGCAAGACUUUUAUACCCAGGGGGAUUUUUACAUUUGCUUUUCUAAACCUUGAAAUUGAGAAUUUUAAUGACAAGGCAGACAGAUGCUUACAGACAGCAUCCCAGUCAAGGGUCUACAUGCUAAGGAGAGAGUGGCGCUUUGUUUGGGCCGAGGGGGGGGGGAGGUGGACUUCCCACUCUGUUCCUGAGCCAUCCCCAAGUGUCUGACACAUCCCUUCACAGUGGCCAGCAAACCACCGAAUUCUUGGAGGGGACGGAGGUUGGGGCAGAAGAAAGGAAACAGGAAACGAGAGAGGAAAAGAAAAAGGAUGGGCAGGGGAUAUUGUCUGUUUAUAUAAAUCCUACUUUAAAAAAAAAAAUCUCAACCCACUGUCAAUUCCAUACACACCAACUAGUUUAAACAGUGCAUUCUGUCGGACUCCCAGCCAUCCAUCUCAGAUUUUUUUUUUCUUUUUAAUGAGUAAUUUCACAUAGGUUUCAAUUCUUCCCUAGCCAAUGAUCACUUUUAAGUAGUGGACAGGAUACCAGGAGAUAAACAAAAGAUGACCCUUUCACGCUUUACCCCGGGUAAUGCUAGAAUCCCAUUUCUUCGAUUCAUCUUUUCACCGCAGUUCAUUUUUGUUGGAAGUCUGUGCUAAUCUGGCUUCACAGUUGUCCCCCCCACCCCACCCCCAGCUGACAUCCCACAUAUCCCCCAAGUCAGCCAGUGUUUUAGAAUGUGGGUUUCUAUUGAGGCUGUUCCAAUCGCCAGUGAGGCCUACGGUGAAAUGUGCUUCAUGCUGCUCCGUUCGUCUCUCUGCGGACAAAUAGAAACUGUGAAAUUUAAAGAAUGGAUAAAAAAAAAAAAUCUAAAACAAAGAGGUUAAAAAAAUAGGACAAAUGUUUUUGCUUUUGUGUCUCCCUGCAGCGAUUGUUUGGGGAAGCUGCACUGACAAUAACCAUGAGCAGGCCAUCUAAAGGCGAUGCGCUCACAAGGGGACGCCUUGCCUGCUCCCUUUGGUCUGGGAGAAAAAGUACCUUAGCUCCGUUCUCCAGGAACAAAAGGCCGGGGCCAGGGGAGGGGGGAGAGGUUACUGGGCUUUCACAGGGAGCAAAGUGUCAAAGCUGGUUCAUUUUUCACCCUUCUGAGUUAGAAAGCCGCUCAGGGAACUUCCUAAUGACUCCUUUUCCCUCUCUAUUACUGCUAAAGCUAAGACGACAAAACAAUGACAUAUUUUAUAUACAUAUGAGUAUGUGUAUGUGUAUACAUGUGUGUGUGUAUACACACAUCCUUAAAAAAAAAAAAACAAAAAAAAAAAACAAACCUAAAACCCACCAUGCCAGUCAAGGAAGGCCUUUGGGGCCCACAUGAGCCUGCUUCUCUCCUCCCUCUCACCACCCUACUUUUUUUCUUUUUGGAGGGGGGAUCCAGUAGUAGAGCAGAUGAAAAGACAGACAGUGAUAUGUCCAAUAACAUCAAACUGGCCUUUAUCAGUCCAAAAAGGUAGGGUGUUAUCCGGGACAGGAGGUAUUGGGGGAGAGGGUUGGGGGCAAGAAGGCCUGGAAAUAGUUCCUUUUUUCCCAGCAUGAAGUCGGAUAAUGCCAAUUCCACAUUCACAACUGAAUCGAAAUCUCACAUCAUCACUGAAUGGUGGGAGUGGUUUUUUUGUUUAUUUAUUUGGAGUUUAGAUUUGUGUGUGUGUGUGUGUGUGUGUGUGUGUGUGUGUGUGUGUGUGUGUGUGUGUGUUCUUUUUUUAGAGGAUGUCCUAGAGAACUGGACAGUGAGGGUGUAUUAACCCAGACAAGGUGUGGCAGGGACCAGGGGAGGUGGUGCCACCAGGAAAGGAAGCUGGGGUGAAUCACUGCAUGCCAUGGAAAUACUGGGCCGAGUGGAUGUAGGAGUGUUUAACCAGAUUAACACACUGGAAGUGUCUUCCCAGGCAAGCAAAACCCUAGGUCAAAGCAAAGACAUUCGACCCCCAAGCCAGACCUGACUGCUCCGGGAACACCCCCCCCCUUCCCCAAAGCAAGCACAGGGCUCUGACCAAAGAGCAAGGUCACAGGCAGGGAUGAGAGGGCCCUGCAAAGCACAAUAAACACUCGAAUAUGAACGGAAAUGACAUCAGCAAAGUGAAGGACCUGUUUACUGCAGAUCAAAACAAAACAAACUUCCAAACCUUUUGUGUACACAAGAGAACUCUAUAAAAAGCCUUGCUAAAUGUCACUAGGGUCUACACAUCGGCAACCCAAUAAGAAAAUAUGACGGUUACUGGAGGGGGGAGCUGGGGGGGGAUGAUGGAAAGAAGGUGGAGGGAGGGAGAUCAAUCCCAGCUAGGACCAAAAAUCCAGUUGCUGGUUACCCCCUCUGCUGAGUCUUAAUAUUUAUUGGUGUUUAUAAUCUGAAAGCCAUGCUCUAUGUUUCACUUAAUACAAGGCCAGACAGCGUUGUCUAAUGAGGCAGCAUUACAAUCAGCUUGUAAUGCUGAAUUUUUAAUGCUGCCAAGGAUUCUGUUACAUAAUAAUAUGAAAAACAGAAGCCCAGAGUGGGGUCACAGUGACAAGACCUCCCCAGUGCCACCAGCCUGGCUUCCCUUGCCUCCGCCCACUACCACUUUCUGAUUUGAAAUCAACUCUUCAUUCCCUACACAGGAGGUCGAUAUGGAAACCGAGAGGAUUUCUUAGGAAAUCCACACUUUCCAUUAUUUCUGUAGUCUCUUAUCCAAAGUUCUAUGUCGAGAGUUUGAAUUCUAGCUUAUCUGGGGUGAGAGCUCUAAAAUGAAAAUUAUUUCU